rnacentral:tRNA from 2 species
GCGCCUGUAGCUCAAUGGACCAGAGCUCCCCGCUUCGAACGGGAUGGUUGGAGGUUCGAAUCCUUCCAGGCGCUCCA